rnacentral:tRNA from 1 species
GGAGGAUACAGCUCAGGGGUAGAGUGCGUGUUUAAAAUGCACGAGGUGCUGGGUUCAAUCCCUGGUACCUCCA